UGGCGAACGGGUGAGUAACGCGUGAGUAACCUGCCCUGGAGUGGGGGACAACAGUUGGAAACGACUGCUAAUACCGCAUAAGCCCACGGCCCGGCAUCGGGCUGCGGGAAAAGGAUUUAUUCGCUUCAGGAUGGACUCGCGUCCAAUUAGCUAGUUGGCGAGGUAACGGCCCACCAAGGCGACGAUUGGUAGCCGGACUGAGAGGUUGAACGGCCACAUUGGGACUGAGACACGGCCCAG
rnacentral:rRNA from 1 species